AAUCGCAUUCAUCGUACCAAGUAGGACACACACAUGUCAAUACUCUCAAUCUCAACCACGAUCUCAUCUGAAAUAGCGAAAUCGAUGGAAAGGUCUGGGCUUUAAAUAGCAUUGAGGGGGGAGCAAAUGCCGCUGUUUCAUCCAUCUUCAUCACUCUGCCUUAUCUUAGAUCUCCGAUUUGAUUACACAACCCGAGUUGUUGUUUGAUCGAAUCAGCCCAUCUCUCCUAAUCUAAUCAGGAGAUGGGUUUUGGUAACCAAGCAAAGCCGAGGGAAGACACACCUCUUCUCGGUGAAGCACCACCACCUUUGUCAAGCAAGUUCAAGACUUUCGCCAAUGUCUUCAUUGCUAUCGUCGGAGCUGGUGUCCUCGGUCUUCCUUACGCCUUCAAACGUACCGGAUGGUUCAUGGGUUUGCUUACCCUCUUCUCCGUCGCUGCUUUGAUCAACCAUUGCAUGAUGCUUCUUGUUUAUAUCCGUCGCAAGCUUGGUGUCUCCAAUAUCGCCUCUUUUGGGGACCUUGGCUUCGCCGUUUGCGGUAACGUCGGGAGGUUCGUCGUUGAAGUUCUUAUCAUUCUCUCUCAGGCUGGGUUUUGUGUCGGAUACCUUAUCUUCAUCGGUACUACUUUAGCUAAUCUCUUUAACUCAACCAACACUACGACUCUGAGUUUGAGUCUGAGGCAUUUGAUGGGUGUGUCUCCUAAGAGUCUCUAUAUAUGGGGAUGUUUCCCGUUUCAGAUUGGUUUGAAUUCUAUUAAGACGCUCACUCACUUGGCUCCUCUCAGCAUAUUCGCUGAUGUAGUUGAUUUGGGUGCAAUGGCUGUGGUGAUUGUGGAGGAUGUGAAGAUUACGAUGCAGCAAAGGCCUCAAGUUGUAGCCUUUGGUGGCAUGUCUGUGUCUUUCUAUGGGAUGGGAGUGGCUGUUUACGCCUUUGAAGGGGUGGGAAUGGUUUUGCCUCUUGAAUCUGAGAUGAAGGAGAAAGACAAGUUUGGCAAAGUGUUGGCUCUCAGCAUGCUGUUCAUCGCUGUCAUGUAUGGAUCUUUUGGUGUGUUAGGCUACAUGGCUUUUGGGGAUGAAACAAUGGACAUCAUCACAGCUAACUUGGGGGCAGGACUUGUGAGCAGUCUUGUCCAGCUGGGGCUCUGCAUCAACCUUUUCUUCACUUUCCCCUUGAUGAUGAACCCUGUGUUUGAGAUCGUUGAGAGACGUUUCUGGAGUGGGAUGUACUGCGUGUGGCUCAGAUGGCUGCUAGUCUUGGUUGUGACGUUGGUGGCUCUCUUGGUGCCGAACUUUGCAGAUUUUUUGUCAUUGGUUGGUAGCAGCGUCUGCUGUGCGUUGGGCUUUGUGUUGCCUACUUUGUUUCAUCUGAUAGUCUUCAAAGACGAGAUGGAGUGGAAGCAACGGGCUUUAGACUGGGGGAUCCUACUACUGGGUAUCGUUCUUGGUGUCUCAGGUACUUGGAGUUCCCUGAAUGAGAUCUUCCAGAAGUAGUAGAUAGGUGGACACAUUGUUUCUUUUGUUGGAAUUUUUUCUACUUUCAAUGAAAGCAAAAGUGUCAGAGUCUUGGAAUGUUGUUAUGUUAUUUCGAUUCUGUUGCUAAUGUUAUUAUGUUAAAAGUAAUAACCAUUGAGACAUGUGUCAUAUGUUUUGAUCCUAUGAUCCCUGGAACAAGCACGCUCUUAUUGGGAUUGGUAAUAUUUUUCAACUAUUUCAAUCUUCAUUAACUUAUUGAUGCAACCAAACACACAACGACUCCUUUUUUGGAAUGAUAUUGUUGGUUACGUAGCAUGCUUGCAUUUAAGAUGCUUCGUCACGCCUGAGGUUAGAGGAGAAGCUGCCACAUGGUACAUAGUACCCAUCACAUAAGACAUAUCCUUUUGCAUCUCUCAGCGUCUUUUUUUAUAUAUAGAGAGAGAUGAAUGUGGAAGAGAAGCUUGAAAAAGUGAGAAGAUAAAAAAAUGGCAGACACAGGCAAAGGAAGCUCUAGCGCUGGCUGCAAUGAUCGCUGUGGUUGCCCUGCUCCCUGUCCCGGUGGCAAUUCCUGCAGGUGUAAGAUGAGGGAAGCAUCUGGUGGGGAUCAGCACAUGUUGUGCCCGUGUGGAGAGCACUGCGGCUGCAACCCCUGCACCUGCGCCAAGACCCAAACACAAACCUCCGCCAAGGGAUGUACCUGUGGUGAGGGCUGCACCUGUGCCAGUUGCGCCACUUAGAUCCUUAACUAUGUCUAUACCAUACUUGUAUCAUAGGUGCUAGCUAGUCAAUCUGAAAUAAAACUGUUUAUCGAGGUCCAAGGUACAACAAUAUAUAUUGUAUGCU